UGGGGAAUAUUGCACAAUGGGCGAAAGCCUGAUGCAGCAACGCCGCGUGAGUGAUGAAGGCCUUCGGGUUGUAAAGCUCUGUCUUUUGGGACGAUAAUGACGGUACCAAAGGAGGAAGCCACGGCUAACUACGUGCCAGCAGCCGCGGUAAUACGUAGGUGGCAAGCGUUGUCCGGAUUUACUGGGCGUAAAGGAUGCGUAGGCGGAUUUUUAAGUGAGAUGUGAAAACCCUAAGCUUAACUUGGGGACUGCAUUUCAUACUGGAAAUCUAGAGUGCGGGAGAGGAGAAUGGAAUUCCUAGUGUAGCGGUGAAAUGCGUAGAGAUUAGGAAGAACACCAGUGGCGAAGGCGAUUCUCUGGACCGUAACUGACGCUGAGGCAUGAAAGCGUGGGUAGCAAACAGGAUUAGAUACCCUGGUAGUCCACGCCGUAAACGAUGAGUACUAGGUGUAGGAGGUAUUGACCCCUUCUGUGCCGCAGUUAACACAAUAAGUACUCCGCCUGGGAAGUACGAUCGCAAGAUUAAAAACUUAAAUGAAUUGACGGGGUCAUAGCUGUUUCCU
rnacentral:rRNA from 1 species